GAGAUCCCGCCGCAGCGCCGGCUUACGCGGUUGCUAGGGCAACCGGGCGGCGCCAGCGCGAGCGGGAAGGGGGCGCCGGUCGAAUUUUUACGUGCUAGCCUGCGAGACUUGAGACUUCAGGCGUGGUCAUUCCUGAGCCCCACAGACCACGGCCUCUGCUCCAGUCGGUACUCCUGCCCCAGGGGGGCCAUGGGCCGGAUCUCGGGGCUCGUGCCCUCUCGCUUCCUGACGCUCCUGGCGCAUCUGGUGGUCGUCAUCACCUUGUUCUGGUCGCGGGACAGCAACAUCCAAGCCUGCCUGCCUCUCACGUUCACCCCCGAGGAGUACGAGAAGCAGGACAUUCAGCUCGUGGCAGCGCUGUCCGUCACUCUGGGCCUCUUUGCAGUGGAGCUGGCCGGUUUCUUCUCAGGGGUUUCCAUGUUCAACAGCACCCAGAGCCUCAUCUCCAUUGGGGCUCAUUGUAGUGCAUCUGUGGCCCUGUCCUUUUUCAUAUUCGAGCGUUGGGAGUGUACCACGUACUGGUACAUUUUCGCCUUCUGCAGUGCCCUCCCAGCUGUCACUGAAAUGGCAUUGUUCAUCAGCGUCUUUGGACUGAAAAAGAAACCUUUCUGAUCCCUUCGUGACGGGAACAUAGGGAUGACGGUUCGAGGAACAAGGGACCACUCACCAUUCCCGGACCGAGGAAGGCAGUCUUCAGCCCUCAAAUUGCAUUUGAUGGAGGAUGUCAGUGUUAGGGAGACCGGUCGUGUCGCGUUGACAGCGUCACCCUGGGCAGCCGGGAAAGAAGCGAUCUCCAGGAUUGUGACAAAAGGACUUUGUGGAAUGGCUCCUGUCGUUUGCUUCCAUUUGUGUAAAAAGUGGGAAAGCACAGACCAGCCCGUGGGAAAACCAUCUCUGGAAGGAGCCAAGGUACCUGGGAAGACUGGUGCUGGGGGCAGAAGCCGGGUGCCUGGGGGACUGGGGGGGAGGGGGACUUUCUCCGUGUGCUCUUUUGAACUCUGGGAAUUCUGAAGCACAUGCCUUUAAAAAGACAAACCGUGACAUUCUUGAAGAAUGUGAGCCUGCGGUUGCCGGUGCCCCCCAUCUGGAAAUGAAGCCAAGUCGGAGUCCAGCAAAGCUAGAAACAGAGACAGCAGACUCCCCGAUGAUGUCAUGGGAGUGCCUGGUUCCUGCUAUUUCCAGCUCCUGGUGUCAGCACAGUGCCUGGCAUCCGAGAAUGAAGGAGCCCUCAUUUCACGGAUGAGGAACACCGGGCCCCAGGAGAAAGCCAUUUGCCUCACGCAAAUAUGGAGAGCUGGGGCUAGAUAGGUCCCAAGUUUCCUGGCUGUCAGGCCAAAUCAGUCGCUCGAUUCAACAAGUCUUCAUUGAAUAUCUCCCACCUGCCAGGCUCCGGACAUGGCAUGUGAGACGGAAGGAAAUAAGGAUGAUGUGGCCCCUUGCCAACCACACAUACAGUCUGGACCCCCCUUCCCCCCAACAGAGGAACUUGUUAACUCCAGUGAGCCUCUAAGGAAUUGAGGGUUGCAGAGUCAGGCUGUGCGACCAGGAGGCCGCCCAGGCUCCCAGUCCCAGAAGACUGGGAUCUGCCUGCGUCUCGUCUUCCCCACACCAGGCUCUGGCGUAUGGCCUCCCCACCACCCAAGCCCACGCUGCUCUGUUUCCCAGAGGCAGGAGGCCCGGGCCUGCCCUGCUGCGGUGACAGGAGCCAGCUCCCUGGCCACACUGGUCACAGAUGAUCGGAGCUUCACCAGCUCAAACAGGGCUGUCCUCACAGGAACAGUGGGCACACGGGCCCUGCCUGAACCCAUUCUCCCCAAACAGGAGCCUAGGCGUUCACCGUUAGCGGUCCAUUUGCCUGCUGUGCUGUGUGUUUGUCUUUUAAAACACUCCUCACUGAAACUGUAGUUCACCAUCAUUCAUUCAUUAUUCAUCGGCCUGCCUUGUUUCUGGCACUGUGCUUGGGACUCAUGCAGGGAGAAUAGAUUAAAAAGGUACCGCUUUGUGUA